rnacentral:rRNA from 1 species
UACGGAGGGGGCUAGCGUUGUUCGGAAUUACUGGGCGUAAAGCGCACGUAGGCGGCGAUCUAAGUCAGAGGUGAAAGCCCGGGGCUCAACCCCGGAAUAGCCUUUUGAGACUGGAUUGCUAGAAUCUUGGAGAGGCGGGUGGAAUUCCGAGUGUAGAGGUGAAAUUCGUAGAUAUUCGGAAGAACACCAGUGGCGAAGGCGGCCCGCUGGACAAGUAUUGACGUGAGGUGCGAAAGCGUGGGGAGCAAACAGG